rnacentral:lncRNA from 1 species
UAAUAUGAGGAAGUCAAACUAUAGGAUUUUACUGUCAGGGCCAUCAGCUGCUCGGGGGCCUGUUUGAAUCAAUUGAUGGCAAAUAGCAUUUCUUGCAGACAGAUUUCUAUCUGACUUUCUUGUCCACCAAUUCAACAGAAGAACUAACAACCAAAUGUCCAUAGUUACUGGGUCUUUGUAUAGGUAAAAUCAUUUUGGAAGGUUUGAAAUAUGGUUGCAGGGAAUCUUACAUUGCUGAAACUGUGGCAACUGCCAUGCGCUGUGCCUGUGCAUGUAAGACUUCAUGGCUGACUCCUUUAUUCGAGAGAGCUACUGCUAAUCUUACUCUUUUGCAUGUUUGGCUUGAUGUGAUGUGAAUAUGAUAGCACUUCAGAAAAGCACAAGGAACAAAUAGAAAUCACUUUGCAACAGAAUUUUGCUAGGUGGCAAGCAGUGGCUCUUUGUUCCCCUAUGACGUACAAAGGACUUAAAAGUGUUUGAGGAAAAGGAGAAAGCUGGAAAUCACCCCUUCCAACUGGCAGAAAGCUUUGACUCUCAGCCCUGCAAAGCUUUGAAGUCAUGAUACAUCUACAAGUAAAUCUGUCAUUUCUCCUACCCUUGUCUUGCUAGCCUGAGCCUUGAAGAACAGUUUUCACAAAUUUCUCCUCAGCAAAUAGAGAUGAUCAAUUUUGGCCUAUUUUCAGAUCCUGGUUCUCCAGGAACGAGUGCCAAAACCAAAAGUGCUUGAGUUUGACUUCAGAGAUUUCAGUUUUCCAGUGUCUGCAGCCCUACAUCACAGAGGCCUUUUGGAAGUGUUAUCCCAGAGCUGUGCCCUGCUGCAUGCAAUCUUGUUCGAACUUGCCAGUGGGUUUAAUGUGAGCCUCAUCAGCAGUGGACCUGGAUAAGAAAUUGAGAUCAGCUGUUUCUUCACUCUGAGCCAGUCUGCCCACAACAGUGCUAGCAGUAAGAUGCCCUGACUACAUGAGAGGUAGCUGCUGCCUUGACCAGAGCAUCCUGGUAAGAUCCCCUACAGUAAGACCCAACUAAGAGAUGCGUGACCUCUCUCUGUCUUGUCUCUUGUCUCCUCUGCCCACUGGGUGAUUUUAGCCACAGCAAAACCAUAACAA